AACAAUUAGCUGGAAGGUUCCUUCCCUGGAACUGUGGACAGCGUCCUUCCCUAGGCGGCCGGUAGAGGGCGCAGGGUUUAUUUGGGAAACGCCGACUAUUGAGUUUGCCGUCUGCAGCUGUCUCCUGCAGCUCGAGAGACAGGGCGAAACGUAGUCACUGAGGCUACUUUAAUAAUCAGCAUAGUGCGCGGAAAACCUUCGUUUUCUCGGUGCUGAGUGUUGAAGAGGAAGCCUUGUCGCGGCCUCGCCGGAGGCAUUUUUGCCUCGCCAGAGACAUUUUUGUCUGGUUGGGAACCGGAACCUUGCAUUUUCGGGGCUUCCCCUGAGUUUUGCGCUUUAUUUUCUCACAGAAACUUGAGCGAGGCAAUUUUGGGGGAAAGAAGCCGUUUUCCGAGCGGUCUGAGGUGGGGAAUCAGAGCGAUUCCCAGCCUCAGAGAAAGGGGAGCCGAUUUUUCAGAUUGGGGCUCGUUUCUGGCGCGAGACAGCGAAGGCCCAGAGAAAGGGGAACGCGGCGGCGGCGAUGGGACGACAGGACGGUGUUGGGGACGCCCUGAGGGAGUCAAAAUUUUCAUCAAGUGCUUCUGUAUGUAUUGAGACUGAAAAGUGACCAAAACUUUUCACUAUAAAAGCUUCAGUAUCACAGGGACAUCAUGACGUCCUCAAAAAGUACACACACACUUCUAAGAAGAUGUGACAAUCUGCACUGAUAUGAGCUUCAAGAGAAAAAUUGUUUCCUUGGAAGUGCUUUUUCACAGCCAUUAUGGAGUCUUCACAGCUCAGGGGAGUCCUUCCAUCCCCAACUACUGCAACAAGCCGGUCUCCAGGACUUGCCAAUGCUGAUGAAGUCCAGUGAAGAACUUCUCCAGGCCAGUCUCAUUCCAACCACCCGCUUAUGCUGAACAGUUUGAAGAUUUGCUGAAGCAUCUGAUGGAGGAGAGCAGUGAUUUGAGCCUUCUGGACCUUGCUGCCAUCUACCAGAAACAACAGAAGACCAUUGGAACCAGCUAAAUGUCCAUCGGUAGGGGACUAAUCAAAUAAUGUAGGACACACCCAUUCAAUGGGAAACAGUACAGCUAUUUAAAAAGAUAAAGCAGUUAUCUAUAUAUGAAUGAGAAGAUCUCCAAGUUAAAAAAGAUAGAUGCAGAACAGUGAGUAUAGUAUGCUAUCUUUUAUAUUAAAAAAGGGGGAGAAUGUAAUAAAAUAAUGUACCUAUAUUCUCAUCAGUUGACAUAUGCAUAAAGAAACUGGAAGGAUUUAAAAGACGGUAAUAACUUCAAACUGUGGAAAAGGUUGGAAGCAGUUGUGUCAAAGUAUACAUUUAUUCAUAUGCCCAAAUUCCAAUUUACUAGUAAUUUAAAAAAUGUAAGUUAGCAAAAUAUCCAUAAAGGGAAAAGAUCAGUAGCAGGGAAAUACACACUCAAACAUUGCUGGUGACAGUAUUUUGGAAAAAAAAAAAAUUGUCUUCAAUCAGCAUUCUGCCCUUAGGAUUUAUCCAAAAACAGGUAAAGUUUUGUGCUCAGAUUUUAUAAAACAGUGGAGAACAAGAAAGUAUAUAUUCAGGAACAAAUGAUGGGCAAGGGAACUAUAGUAUGUGUAGUUAUCAGACAAUUGUGUAUCCAUUUAAAAAUUUGUGAGUAGAAAACAAAAGCACGAAAAAUUUACUGAUGAUGGAAUUCCAUUGAGUGGCAAAAAUUCAGGCUAAAUUACUUACAUAGCAUAGUCACAAUUUGGUAUUUUAAAAGAGGCAAAUGACAUGUUUUAAAUGAUUAAAAUUUGAAACUAUGAACCAAAGUUAUAACUGAAGUGUCUAUUAAAUUGUGUGGGCUAAGUUUUUUUUCUUUUUUGGGCUGCGUGGCUCGUGGGAUCUUGGUUUCCGGAUCAGGGAUUGAACCCGGGCCACAGCAGUGAAAGCGCCGAGUCCUAACCACUAGACCACCAGGGCAUUCCCCUGUGGGAUAAGAAUUUUAAAGUUUUUUUAAUAGAGAAAAAACUUUAAGCAUUUUCCCCCAUGCUGCCUUUCAAUUUCUACAAAAGCCGCAUUUCAUUGUCACUCAGAAGUAACAAAAGGAAGAAGCCAGGAAGUGUAAAUCUCAAAGUAUGCAUUUAGGGGGACAGCUCAGCUGCCGUGAAAGGUUUAGGUCAAGCAUAAUAUACACGCACCCAUUCCAGCCCAUUUAAUGCCACAUACAAAGUACCCCAAGAGGCCCCGCGGGCCCAUCCUGCACAGCCCCGCCUUGCCCAAACCCCGCCCUUCCAGUCCCCCGCCCACUUCCUCUCAUCCCCCACACGACCGCCCACUGGCGAGGUCAGGCGGCCGCGCAGCCGCAGUAGCUGCCACGGCCGCUCCUAGCCCGGGGGAUCCUGGGAGCAGGCCUUUCCGGAAGGACCGGUUCGGCGUCGGGGCCUCGGCCCGUGUUGCAGCCCAGUGUUCCAGGCCCUUGCUCCACGACGGGCCUGUAGCCGCGGCGACGCUCUAAGGACAGCGGAGGGCGCGGCGGGCCGCUCGCUGAGGUGCCCGGCUUCGCCGCCGAGCGAACCCCGGGGCCGCAGGACGUGGCGGCACCUCCCCCUUGGCCCGGAGCGGAACUGCGGGAGGAGCGGCAACGCAGGCCGGACGCGGUGAACCGGGUCACUAAACUGCCUUCAGACAAAAUAUACUCCUACAGAAAAUUUCAUUCAAAACUACAGAAGCAUACUAUCAGAAGUAAAACCAACGUUCUAUCCGCAGCUCAACGAUUGAAAGACCUUAGGUUCCUUUAGGUGUAAAGAAAGAUUGAGACUUUCCUAGUUUCCUGAGGUUCUUUGAUCAUCUGUACCAUCAUUACCCUGAAUUCUUCUCCUCAGUUGUAGAAGAUCUCUUCUGGUUGGUUCUGGUCUUUUUCAUUGAUGGUUGUUCUGCAAGUACUUGUGAUUUUGGUGUGCUCAUGAGAGGAGGUAAGCUCAGGGUCUUUCUACUCCACCAUCUUGGCCAAAGAGAGUAUCUUUGAUACAACACAAAAACACAGAUUUAAAUAUCUUUGACCUUUAUCUUAUUGAUAAAUUCAUAUAAUUUGAGUUUUAUAAAAAAUCUGCACCAUUUCAUCUGGAUUCUAAGCAUUCACACCCACUACUAUGUGGUUUUUUUAAUGGAUUGUAAACUAAAGAGCUUCAGCUUACAAAGUAUCACACUAACAGAGUAAAUCUUUUCAGUGGCAGAAAGAAUUUAAUGUGCAAAUAUCCAGGUGUAAGUAAACCUGAUUAACUUAUAAUAUUCUGAGAACUUUUAUAUAUUGGUUUGCCCAUGCAGAUGCUAGGAUCAGAUCACUGCUCUACCCACAAAGCUUUCAUCCACCCCAGACAACAACACAUACAUAGCACACGUGUGUGAUACAGAGUGGCUUCUGGACCAGCUGAUCCAAAUUCUUUUUAGUACCAUCCCUGGGUUCCAAGAAAGCCUAUUUCUUGGCUAGGGAACUACCCAUUUCCUCUAUCUCCAAAACACUGUCUCAGAGCAGAAUAUUCUCAUACUGAGUAUUCUUUCUCCCAGGAUGGAUAUGAUUGAAAACAGGUGACCUCUUAAUUGUGCCUCCUGAAGCCUGUCAAAAUGCACUUUCUAUAACCUUCCUUGUUCCUUCUGUUCUAUUUAAUACAGUAUUAGAACAAGAUGAAUAUAAAGCUGCUGAUGGCAGUUAAGGUCUGUUACCUGAGCUCAGAUGUUUCAUUGUGUAUACAGCCCUUUCCCAAUUUUAAGUUCAUGCAGUAUUCUAGCUCUUUAUUGGCCCAUUUUCCAGAAGGCUGUGACUAUAGAGGUAGAGGUUUAUCAUUUUUUGCGUCGUUUCACCUAAGAGCCCAUCAGCAGAGUCUAUAUUUGUGAAUGGAGGGCAAGUCUAAUUUCUACUGACUGAACUUUUAUCUUAGUUUGGAAGGAUACUUUAUCACUUAGAAGCCAACACAUUCCAGCCAGGAAUUAGUGAUCCAUAAAAACAACUCAUUUCUUCCUACUAGGCAGAGUGUUUGGUUAUUAAUCCCUCCAUCCUUCUCCAGAUAACACAGAUUUCACAAACCUCCUAUGCAUCCUAUGUAUACAGGCACACUCAAAGGCAUCACUUAAGCUCAGAGAAUGGGGAAAGAGGGUUUUCUAACUUUCCAGGCUGACUCUCCAUUAAUGAGCUAACCUGUGCCCUCAACUUUUCCUACUUCAUCCUGUAAGGGGAGUGGGUUAUGGAUUCCACUUACAUUGUCCACUUAGUUUACUUCUCCAUCUUCCAUAUCUGCAUUUCUCAUUCACCCCCACCACUUACCUCAUAGUGCACUUACCAGCCAUGUGCAACACGUUCCUGGCUAUCAUUUGGGAGGAAUACUGCUGUGUGUAGACCAAGCUCAAGGAGAUGCCUCUAGUUAGCCCCCAAACUCAGUGUCCAGAAAUGGGUUUUUACAUAUCCUGCUGGGUGCUUGCAGCUGGUCAAAGCUCCCAGUGGACAACCUGCUGAUGUGGAGUACCUACUGGGGCACAGUCGAGAAGCCCUAUCAAGAUCUAGGUAGCCAUCAGGAUUAUAACUUUGAGAAUGACCUAAGUCUGCUGAAGCAUUGGUUGUGUGCAGAGGCAGGAGCCACAAGGGGACUUUGUUCAGGACAGUGGUAGAACUGGGGUCAUCUCGUUACUGCUACUAACCAGUCUCGAACUACAGUCAAGUCACUAGCUGGAUGUUUUGUUAAAAAAUCAUUAAAACUGAUUAUUCUCCUAUCCAUAAUCUCACUUCCCUGGGUUAGUUACUACAUCAGUGAUGUUGCUGGACCAACACCAUUCUAUUUGGAAAGAUGUGCAGAUGACUGAAGAUGGUGGUAUCAGGCACAAGAAAAAUGCAUAACCUGCCACUCCAAUGCUCUAUCCCUGCAUAGAAAGAGUGGUUAAUUUUUCUCUAGUAUCCUUUACUGUCACCAUCCCACUGCUGGCUUCCAGAAGAGCAUGGUCAAAAGAAAAAUCUCAACAGUACUACAAUUUAACUCUUAAUAGCCUUUGUCCAUCCCAUAGGAAUGACUUUACACCCCAGACCUUACCUCUACCACAGUCUCAACAGUUCUCUUCUACUCAAGGUGACCUAUAAAAACGGCUUUUAUUAAUACCCAGAAUAUAAUGCUGAGAAACACUGUUCUCUCACAUCAUAGACUAUUAUCUAUUUUCUCAUACAUCUCUAAUCAUCAUCUUAAAGGAUCUGAGCCAUGUGGUCACUUUGAUACAACAGAGCAGCAACCUGAUUCCCAAACCAGAUGCAAAGCUUCAUAAACUGGGUUUUCAUACACUGCAUUCCUCAUUUAUCCUGGCAUUAUAUUUUCCAAAGAAAAACAGGAAUGGGAUUCUCCUUAGUUCCCUUGCGUGGGGGAACACAAGGUGAUCUUCCUAACAUUUCUAAAGAAAUGUGGCCAACAACACAACCCUCUCAGCUUUAGAGUGACUGUAAGAAAGCAACAAGGGGCUUCCCUGGUGGCGCAGUGGUUGAGAAUCUGCCUGCCA